GCAGCUCAGUCGGUAAGAGCACGGAGUUCUUAAUCUCAGAGUCGGGGGUUCGAGCCCCACGUUGAGUG